GACGAACGCUGGCGGCGUGCCUAAUACAUGCAAGUCGAACGCACAGUUUAUACCGUAGCUUGCUACACCAUAGACUGUGAGUUGCGAACGGGUGAGUAACGCGUAGGUAACCUGCCUGGUAGCGGGGGAUAACUAUUGGAAACGAUAGCUAAUACCGCAUAAUAUUAAUUAUUGCAUGAUAAUUAAUUGAAAGGUGCAAUUGCACCACUACCAGAUGGACCUGCGUUGUAUUAGCUAGUAGGUGAGGUAACGGCUCACCUAGGCGACGAUACAUAGCCGACCGGAGAGGGUGAUCGGCCACACUGGGACUGAGACACGGCCCAGACUCCUACGGGAGGCAGCAGUAGGGAAUCUUCGGCAAUGGACGAAAGUCUGACCGAGAAACGCCGCGGGAGUGAAGAAGGGUGUCGGAUCGUAAAGCUCUGUUGUAAGAGAAGAACGGGUGUGAGAGUGGAAAGUUCACACUGUGACGGUAUCUUACCAGAAAGGGACGGCUAACUACGUG
rnacentral:rRNA from 1 species